GACUUGGUAGCUCAGUCCUUAGAGCAGUGGGAUGGAAUCCCUAAGUCAUGAGUUCGAUUCUCGCUCUGGUUCA